rnacentral:rRNA from 1 species
UACGGGGGGAGCAAGCGUUGUUCGGAUCUACUGGGCGUAAAGGGCGCGUAGGCGGUCGUGACAAGUCACUUGUGAAAUCUCCGGGCUUAACUCGGAACGGUCAAGUGAUACUGUCGGACUAGAGUACAGAAGGGGCAACUGGAAUUCUCGGUGUAGCGGUGAAAUGCGUAGAUAUCGAGAGGAACACCUGCGGCGAAGGCGGGUUGCUGGGCUGAUACUGACGCUGAGGCGCGAAAGCCAGGGGAGCGAACGGG